rnacentral:rRNA from 1 species
CCUACGGGAGGCAGCAGUGAGGAAUAUUGCGCAAUGGGGGCAACCCUGACGCAGCGACGCCGCGUGGAUGAUGAAGGCUUUCGAGUCGUAAAAUCCUGUCAGAUGGGAAGAAGUGGUGGUUAGUUAAUACCUAAUCAUUUUGACGGUACCAUCAAAGGAAGCACCGGCUAACUCCGUGCCAGCAGCCGCGGUAAUACGGAGGGUGCAAGCGUUGUUCGGAAUUACUGGGCGUAAAGCGCGCGUAGGCGGCUUCUUAAGUCAGAUGUGAAAGUCCACGGCUCAACCGUGGAAGUGCAUUUGAAACUGGGAGGCUUGAGUAUCAGAGGGGAUAGUGGAAUUCCAGGUGUAGAGGUGAAAUUCGUAGAUAUCUGGAGGAAUACCGGUGGCGAAGGCGACUAUCUGGCUGAAUACUGACGCUGAGGUGCGAAAGCAUGGGGAGCAAACAGGAUUAGAUACCCUGGUAGUCCAUGCCGUAAACGAUGUCAACUAGGUGUUGGAGUGGUUAAUCGCUUCAUUGCCGGAGCUAACGCAUUAAGUUGACCGCCUGGGGAGUACGGUCGCAAGAUUAAAACUCAAAGGAAUUGACGG